AUUGAACGCUGGCGGCAGGCCUAACACAUGCAAGUCGAACGAGGGGCGGACGGGUGAGUAAUGUCUGGGACACUGCCUGAUGGAGGGGGAUAACUACUGGAAACGGUAGCUAAUACCGCAUACCAUCGGAUGUGCCCAGAUGGGAUUAGCUAGUAGGUGGGGUAAAGGCUCACCUAGGCGACGAUCCCUAGCUGGUCGGAGAGGAGGACCAGCCACACUGGAAGUGAGACACGGUCAAGACUCCUACGGGAGGCAGCAGUGGGGAAUAUUGGACAAUGGGCGCAAGCCUGAUGCAGCCAUGCCGCGUGUAUGAAGAAGGCCGGCGGGUUGUAAAGUACUUUCAGGGGGGAGGCGGUACCCGCAGAAGAAGCACCGGCUAACUCCGUGCCAGCAGCCGCGGUAAUAC
rnacentral:rRNA from 1 species